UGAGGAAUAUUGGGCAAUGCCCGCAAGGGUAACCCAGCAACGCCGCGUGGAGGAUGAAUGUCGUAAGAUUGUAAACUCCUGUUAGAGGGGAAGAAUAGUACCGGUUGGACCGGUAUAUGACUGUACCCUCAGAGAAAGCCCCGGCUAACUACGUGCCAGCAGCCGCGGUAAUACGUAGGGGGCAAGCGUUGUCCGGAUUUACUGGGUGUAAAGGGCGCGCAGGCGGGAUAAAAAGUCAGUGGUGAAAUCCUACAGCUUAACUGUAGAACUGCCUUUGAUACUUUUAUUCUUGAGUUCGGGAGAGAGAGACGGAAUUCCAGGUGUAGUGGUGAAAUACGUAGAUAUCUGGAAGAACACCAGUUGCGAAGGCGGUCAACUGGCCCAUAACUGACGCUCAUGCACGAAAGCGUGGGGAGCAAACA
rnacentral:rRNA from 1 species